UACGUAGGGGGCUAGCGUUGUCCGGAUUUAUUGGGCGUAAAGAGCGCGUAGGCGGCCGAGUAAGUCCGACGUGAAAUCUGGAGGCUCAACCUCCAGCGGUCGUUGGAAACUACUCGGCUAGAGUCCGGAAGAGGAGAGUGGAAUUCCUGGUGUAGCGGUGAAAUGCGCAGAUAUCAGGAGGAACACCGGUGGCGAAGGCGGUUCUCUGGGCCUGUACUGACGCUGAGGAGCGAAAGCGUGGGGAGCGAACAGG
rnacentral:rRNA from 1 species